ensembl:snoRNA
AUCCUUUCUGUGGUCCAUAAACAUGAUGAUUGGGUAUACAAACAUCUAUAUGAGAUGUGCCUCCCUCUAAACCUUGUUAUAACAUUGGCACAUGGCCCAUCUGAUG